CAGAUCUUCUAAGCUUGCAUUAUGACUCAAUGAGAGCCAUAUUGCAAGGGGGCAAUUAGCUAGGUCUGCAUCUGCUGGUGGUGCAAAUCUCACGCUCUCCAGUUGGACCAUAAGGGACUCAGGACUCCUGCUAGACCACCAGGUAGUAUACUCCCCCCUGACCCCAUUGGACCACCCAACUAGAAUUUCAUUCUCAUUUACCUUUAGGGAAGUACAAUAAAC